rfam:Haemonchus contortus, ISE/inbred ISE, WGS project CAVP01000000 data, contig: Hcontortus_1923
AGCACAAACGUGAAGUAGAGUAGUUUAGUAGGGUCAGAUGACUUCUAGUCUACUCUACUUCAAGUUUGUGCCC